rnacentral:rRNA from 1 species
UACCUUAUAGUUUGGGAUAACUCCGGGAAACCGGGGCUAAUACCGAAUAAUCUAUUUCCUCUCAUGAGGAAAUACUGAAAGACGGUUUCGGCUGUCACUAUAAGAUGGGCCCGCGGCGCAUUAGCUAGUUGGUGAGGUAACGGCUCACCAAGGCGACGAUGCGUAGCCGACCUGAGAGGGUGAUCGGCCACACUGGGACUGAGACACGGCCCAGACUCCUACGGGAGGCAGCAGUAGGGAAUCUUCCACAAUGGACGAAAGUCUGAUGGAGCAACGCCGCGUGAGUGAAGAAGGAUUUCGGUUCGUAAAACUCUGUUGUAAGGGAAGAACAAGUACAGUAGUAACUGGCUGUACCUUGACGGUACCUUAUUAGAAAGCCACGGCUAACUACGUGCCAGCAGCCGCGGUAAUACGUAGGUGGCAAGCGUUGUCCGGAAUUAUUGGGCGUAAAGCGCGCGCAGGUGGUUUCUUAAGUCUGAUGUGAAAGCCCACGGCUCAACCGUGGAGGGUCAUUGGAAACUGGGAGACUUGAGUGCAGAAGAGGAUAGUGGAAUUCCAAGUGUAGCGGUGAAAUGCGUAGAGAUUUGGAGGAACACCAGUGGCGAAGGCGACUAUCUGGUCUGUAACUGACA